rnacentral:lncRNA from 1 species
UUAUUACCUCUCUUUUCUCUUCAGAUACAUCUAAGAUCAUGUUCCUUUGCUUAUCCACUUCCUUCUCAAGGUCCUUUAUCUUCAAUUUCAACUCAUCUUCUAGAUUCUUUGUUAGCUGCAUAUGUUCCUUGCUUAAUUGUUGUAAAUGGUCCUCCAUUUGUCUGAUCUGUAAAUCACGAGAACGAACCUCGGCCACGAGAUUGUUUACUGUUGCAGUAACACAAUCUUUGUCUGUCAUAAGCAUAUCAUAUUUCAAUUUCAUUUUGUCAAGGUUCUUAUUCAAAGCGUCUAUGUGUAUACCUUUCUCAUUAAGUUCUGUAGGAUAUGUAGGAUAUGGCAUUUGAAAUUUAUGAUUCCUAUUUGUGGAGCAAGAUGAAUGUAUGAUUUGGUUAAGGUUGAAUGCCUUUGUAUGUGAUGUUUGAAAUGUGGUGCUAACGAGGGCUAUGUUGAUUAGGUUAUAUGAAAUUGACAUGUUUUGAGGUGUAUUUGAUGACUUUUAUAGAGUGGUUAUAGGUUUGGUUUGGUAGCCAAGAUAGGUGUGAAAUUUACCUUGUUUUGGAAGCAAAAAUUGGUGCACAUGGCGAGGGAUACGGGCUAUACACGGCCAACCCACACGGUAAUGAAUCUUAAUGAUUUUAGCUGCAGGGCACACACGGUCUAAGACACAACCAGCGACAUGGUAGUGUGACCCAACAACAAAUGGACAUAGGGGCAGUCACACGGCCAUGUGACCUUAAUUUAAAUAUACACACGGGUGGACACACGGUUAUGUGUCUCGACUUUGAAUGUCCACACGGUCUGGGCUGUUACACACGAUCGUGUGUCCCUUGUUUUCAAAAUUUUCAUCUAUUUUCUAACUUUUCCAUUUUGUUUCAAAUUACACCAGAAUGUUUCCAAUCUAUUUUUAGGGCCCCAUAAACUCAGUUUAAGGCCUGUAAGUGUAUGUUAAUUGUGAAUUGAUUGUGAAUUGAUUAAUUGUAAUUAUAUUGAAUAAUUGUUUGAAAUGUUAUCGUAAUACUCCGUGACGUCAAUUCAGCGACAGACACUAGUUAGGGGCGUUAAGUUUAAAUUGUCUUUUAUAAAUUUUAUAUAAAUGCAUGAAAAAAACAAAAAGAAACACUCUAUAAUAAUAUUUAUUUAUCAUUAAAACUUAGUUUUUUAAUACUUUUCUUGAUCGAGUUAGUGUCGAGCUAACUCAUGAUACAGUCUAAAUUCAUGACGCCAAUUCAAUCAUACACUAAAUAAUAGUAUAAAUGUUAUUGUUCAUGAAAAAAUCAAAAUAUAAAUGUUGAAUCCGAAAAUGAAAUCAACGGUUAAGAUUUGAAAUAUAAGUAGAGAUGGUAAUGGAGUGGGGCGGAAUGAUUUUUUGUCCACCCGAAUUGAUAUACCUCUAACAUAAUCCGACUUUGAUCCAACUCAAAAUUAAAUAUUAAUUUACUUAUCUUGAACCUGACUCGAAAAAUCAAAGUUAUACCCUAUUUUGAUAGAUAUACCAAUACUUUUAAUUGUUUUUAUAUAUUUUUAUCAAAAUAGAAUAAUAGUUUUAAAGUUUUUAAUGAUAACAUGACUUUUUUUUGUAGUUAUAGUUAUGGUAGGGAAAAUAUUUUUAUAAUUAUCAUAUUUUAUAAUCUAAUAUUAGAUAUAAAUGGUUAUUUUGGCAAUUUUUUUUAAAUGGGAGAAAGAAUUAUAUGAAAUUGUGAUUCCACGUUAUCUGUACCCUUUUCUAAUACGAAAAUGACAAAUCAGAAUUUAAGAUUUAAUCCAUGUACUUUAAAAGUUAAAAUUUCAAUUAUCCUACUUCUACGAUUUAAAAAUUCUAGUCCAAUUAUUAUUAUCUAUAAUUUUUUGUCAAAAAAUUCAACUUAACAUCAUAUGAAAUGUUAUAUGAUGGCAGUCUAAUCAACAUGCCAAAUUGGAAGAUUUUGAUGGAAAUUAUUAACAAUGUUAAAGAUUGGAAUGAAAUUUUUAAAUCAAAAAAGUAAGAUAGCUAAAUUCCAAAUUUUAUCUAAGUCAAAGGGACUAACAACAUAUUUUCACAAAAGGAAUUGAUAGACUAAUUUAGGUUUUAAAAUAAGAAAAAUUUUCAUUUCCAGCUAUAUUCAACUUGUAUAAAUAUGGAAGCUAGCAUAUAAGGAUAAUAACUUUUCAUGGAAUCUAAGGACAAAAAAUAAUUAACAAUAUAUUUACAGUUCAAACCUCAUAAUUUUCAACCUUAAAACAUUACAUUGAUUAAACACACAAUUAAAAAGUAUCAAGCUUUAAGAACAACCACACACUUUUUUUGUGAAAUUGAAGCCGCAAUUUUUAGCACCUACCAUGGAUUGCUGAUUUUCUGCAUUCCCAAUGAGCAAUAUACUUGCAUCCUAGUUCUGCACAUUCAAGAAAAAUAUAUUCACAAGGCUUACCACAUUCAACACAUUUAUGGUAGUAAGGAAAUUUCUUGACAAAAGUGAAAGGGUAUGGAUGGUCUACCUCAUUGUAGGUGCUCCCGAGUUUGAUGAAUGGAUAUUUUCCAAGAAUACAAUCCACGUGAGCAAAAGUCUCACAAGUUUCACAAUGAUAAAACCAGUUCUUUGAAUCCCUUUUUUCCUCACAAAUGUCACUAUACAAGCCCAUUUUGCCCGGGGCCCAAUAUGGUCCAAAUAAAACCAACCCAAUACCCACCUAGACCUAACCCAAAAUCUAAAGCCCAAUACCCAAAAUACCCCAGACCCUCGGACCCCCUCCCUUGCAGAGAAUAGAAGUGUUUUUUUUUUUAACAGAAGAGAAAUGAAAUAUUUUUAAAGGAUUUUGACUUAUAUAGGGCCCUUCAAACGACGUCGUUUAAGGGCUGGUUUUAAUGGCUCAAAACGGCGUCGUUUUAGCCUUAGGAUCCGCGUGUUAACCCGACCCGUAAGGAGGAUCAGCGUGUUUUGUUGAAACGGGGAAAUUGUGCUUUUGGCCCCUCCGUGUUUUUAAUGUUUCGCAAUCGGAUUUUCUUAUUUUUAAAAUUUACCCUUUAAUUUGUUUUGAUUUCAAUUUGACCCUCUCUGGGACAACGUCGUUUGAUAAGCAAGGGGGUAUUUCCCUCUUCGGUCAUCUGCCUUUCAUGCGUGUUACAAUUUAAUCUUUUUUUAUAUAUAUCUUUAAUUACGGCCCUAAAACAUUGUUUGAUUUUCGAUUUGAUCCUUAAUUGGCUAUUAUAAUUAUCCUUCCUAUUAAAUUGAUUAUUUUAAUUGCAUUAAUGUUAUUAUACAGCGCUAUUAUUUAUUAGUAACAUUAUUAUUUUUAUUUCAUUUAUGCAUUUUUAUUUCUAAAAGUUUAUAUAUAUAGGCAUACAUUUCUCUAAUAUAUUUAUUUUAAAAUUCUUAUAAGUAUGUUGUUAUUUCAUUUUUUAUAUAUGCUUAUUUUUAUAAUAUACAUAUACGUACAUACUUACAUUUUUGUAUUAUGAUUUGCAUACACAUUUAUAUAUCUAUAUAACAUUUCUUAUCUUCGUAAAAACGCAUAUACAAAUUUAUAUAUACCUAUAUUUUCCAUAAUAUAUAAUACCUAUACAUAUUCUUGAUUUUUAUAAAUAUAUACAUGCUACCAUAUAUCUCUUAUUACAUUUUAUAGUAUAUAUAUAUACGCACUUUCAUACUUAUAUAUUUCAUAAUUUCUAUAUACAUACACACAUAUUUUAAUUCAUAUACAUAUAUAUAUACAAAUAUAUACAUAUAUAUAUUUUAUAUAUUCUAUUUUUUUAUUUUUUUAUUUCUACUACAAUUGUGUGUUUCACGCAAUGCUUGUUUUCUAUUUUAUGCCCGUUUUACUCGAAUAGUUUAUCUGUUUAUUACCUUGCAUGAUCAAUUCGAGUUUUAUUUAUCUUUUAUUUGCUGUUGCUCAUGCUAUUUGUGUUUGCAUCAUCGUAUAUACCAUUGCUUUGUCACGCAUAUCAACAAUAUAAUCUAUUUUCUUAUUUUUUAUGACAUCGUGUUUUAUUUUAGUCGAUAUGUCAAAAUUUGUCUUAAAAAAUAGUAUUUCGUAUUUUGAUAUUCGAAAAAUCGUACCCUAACUUACGGGGUUUCGAUUUUCUCGAUAAGUCUAAAUACGCGAAUCAUUUCAAACAAAGUUUUUUUUAUGUUCUCGGGAAUUAAAGAAAGAUCGUGUUCUAACUCACGGGACAUGAUUUCUUUCCUAAACCCGAGAUAAUCAAAUAUUUUCUUUAAAAUAAGUAAAUGUUUUUUGGUAUUCAUUUUCGUAUCGAGAAUUCGAGAUAUUGUGUCAUAACUUAAAGAACGUAAUUCUCUUUCUCGAUCAAUGUAACAUAUGCCUUUUUCUCAAUUUUUUAGCAUUUCAAUAAAGGAUCGUAUUUUAUCUCCUUAAAGUUUCCAAUCUUCGACAUUAAAACACUGAUUAAUCAAUUAGGUACCAAUUUUGGGCGUUACUAGGAUGCUAAUCCUUCCUCGUACGUAACCGACUCCCGAACCUAUUUUUCUGAAUUUCGCAGACCAAAAGCAUUGUUUUAAUAAAUCUAAACCAUUUAUUAAAAAACAACUGCUUUACGAGGUGACCCGAUCACAUCUCAUCAAAAAAAGAUUGGUGGCGACUCCCACAUUCGUUUUCAUUUUUUAAAAUCCAAGUCGACCCUAUUUUAUCAAAAAAAUGGUGUCAACAGUCACAACAAUAAUAUUUUACAUAAUCAUUAAUAUUUUCAUAAGUGAGAGUAAGAAUAUAAACAUCGCAUUUGAGUUUAACUGUAGUUGGUAGCAGAACACACCAACCGCAUAAAUUAAAAUUACAAUCCUUACAACAAAAUGCGGUAAUGAUAUCCCUCCCACAAGCACUACUGCUCCUCAUAAUCAUAAUAGAAAAGUAGAGGGCGUUUAUGCCCUGGAAUUUUUACAGCAUCUUGGAGAGUUGCACAUCGAACGCACGUGUGAAUUCCACAUUCAUUACUGCAUUGAUCACAUUCCCAAUCAGAUCUUCCCACGAAUCUAUCUACCUUUCUUUAUUGGGAUAAUAUAGUUUUUGGCCCUUAAACUUAAUAAUUAAAUUUUCUUUGAUACUUGUAUUUUUUUUACUUUGGUCUUUGAAUUUGACAACUAAAUUCAUUUUGAUCCUUAAACUCGGUACUUGAGCAUUUUAUGAAUUUUAAUUAUUUAUUAAAUUAUUAUUGGUCCAACGGUUGUACUGAUCGAAUUGAGAAUCAGUGAUCUCAGUUAUUAAAACACUGAAUUUGACACUCUUAAAAUUAAUGUGUAGUAAAAUUUUAUUUUGGCCCCCAAAAUGAAAAAAUUUAUUUCAGUGCUUUUGUAAAUAAAGAAAUUAUAAAUUAAUAAAUAGUAAAAUUUCUCUUUAGCCCCUUAAAAAUGAAAAAAUAAUAAUUAAUAUAUAGUAAAAUUUCUCUUUAGCCCCUUAAAAAUGAAAAAAAUUAUGUUUAAUUCCUUAAAAAAUCAUGAAAUUAUAAAUUAAUACAUAAUAAACUUAUUUUUUAUCUAUGAAAAAAUUAUAAUUAAUUCCGCCCCUUGUUAAAAAAAAAUUCUAGAUUCACCCCUACCGAAGUGAACAAAAAAAAGUACAGAUACCAAAUUGAACUUUUAGGGGUCAAAAAUUAUAUUAUCCCUUCUUUAUCUUUCAUUUUUAUUUUCUAUUUUUUUACAAUUUUUGGCAUUUAAUUAAGAGAAAAUUGGGGCUCAUUAUCAUCUCUUAUCUCAAGGUAUUCACGGUUUAAAAUUAAGAGAAUUAAGAGAAGUUUUGAGAGGUUAAAGUUAAAAUUAUUUCAUUAAAAUAAAUAUUAAACUUUUGAAAGGAUCAAAAAUAAAAAAAAUCAUUUAACAAAAAAAUUUAAAAAGAAUUAAAUUGAAUUUUUAAUAUUUUAGAAAGACUAAAAUUAAAUUGUACCAUUUAAUCAGGUCCAUAUUCUUCUUAUAAAUCAACCCUUUAUUCAUUGAAAUAUAUAUUUGUUUCUUUGAAAAUAUUUUUUAUGAAAUAUUUUUAAAAAAUUUGUCAAAUUAAUGAAAAUAUUUUACAUCGAUUCUAAACAAAUUUUCCAGUCUAAACAAUUUUUUUUUUAUAUCUAACUAUAUUCUACUUAUAUAAAUAUGGAAGGUGGCACAUAAGGACUAAAUAUUCAUGGAAUCUAAGGAUUAUUAUGAUUUUAGUUAGCAUGCAACAAAUUUAAUAUAUGAAAAUUAAAGAAGAUAUAAGCAAAUCAUAUCAAUUUUAUUCUCAUAUAUUUACAAUUCAAAUCUAAAUACAUUACAUUGUUUAAACACACAAUUAAUAAGUAGCAACCAUUAACAAUAACCACACACUGUCUUGUUCUGAAAUUGAAGUCGCAAUUUUUAGUAUCUACCACUGAUAUCUGCAUUUCCAAUGAGCAAUAUAGUUACAUCUUGGUUCUGCACAUUCAAGAGAAAGAUCUUCACAGGGCUUAUCACAUUUAACACAUUUAGGAUAGUAAUGAAUCUUCUUGACAAAAGCGAGAGGGUGUUCAUGGUUUCCCUCAUUGUAGGUGCUUCCGAGUUUGAUGAAUGAAUAUUCUCCAAGAACGCAAUUCACGUGAACAGAAGUGUCACAAGUUUCACACUGGUAAAACCAGUACUUUGGAUCCCUUUCUUUCUCACAAAUGUCACAAUAAUGAUAUUUUGCAUAAUCAUUAACCUUGUCAUAAGUGAGUGCAAGAAUAUGUUCAUCGCAUUUGUGUCUAACUCUAGUUGGUCGUAUAACACAUAAAUUGCAUAAAUUAAAAUUGCAAUCCUUGCAACGAAAUGCGCAAGAGAUAUCCCCCCCACAACCACUACACUGCUCCUGAUAAUCAUAAUAGAGAAGAAGAGGGUGUUUAUGCCCUGGAAUUUUUACAUCAUUUUGGAGAGUUGCACAUUGAACGCACCUGUGAAUUCCACAUUCAUUACAUUUAUAAGAAAAUCCAUUAGAAAGGUACCCGCAUAUAUCACAUUCGAACAUGCAGUCUGAAGUAAGGAUGAAGGAUUUUGAUCCAGAAAAAGGCUUUCCAGCACAACGAUGAUCCAAAAUAAGGUCCAUCUUAGGUAAUUCAGCACAAGAUUUAUGAAGAAAGAAAUCACACCGCAUGCAAUGGUAGAACUUAGCGGAGAUCAAUAACAAGCACCCAUCACAACAUUUAUCACCAUGCUCGCUGAUUUUGUCACUUAACAUCAAGUAGUGCCUAUGCUUGCAAUGUUCUAUGAGUGUGGCUUCUCCAGCAUCAUUCGUCUCAAGAACCUUAGUGAUGGAGUUAACAGGUAUAUCAAGAGACUUGUCAGCUUCAUUUUCCUGUGAUACUAUGCAAUACAACUUCUUUUCUUUCAAUGCACAAUCCACAUGGAAUAUAACAUUACAAUCUGCACAGAAGUAACUACCGUGCUCUGUAUCGACAACUUCAUGGCACAUAAUGCAAUUCAAACUUUCAAAAUAUUCCUUGUGAAUGAAAUACGUGUGAAAAACACGAUGGACAUGGAAAGAGUGUUGGAGAAUGCGUGGCAAUGAAAUGCAUUUUUUAUGGACCAUAAUACUGCAUGUACAACAUGCAUAGGCAACAUGAUGUCCUUCGGUGCCACAAGCAUCACAAAUGAAUGGAAUUUGUCUCCAAAACAAGGUGAAUGGGUGUUGAUGACUUUUAUCUUCAAUAACUGGUAAUGGCGAUAAACAAUCAAUAUGAAUAGCCAAAUUACAAGUUGAGCAACCAUACAGAAAGCCUCUUUGUUGGGUUACUUGGCAUAUCUUGCAAGAAAGCCGUUCACUAUUAAAUUGCAGAAGAAGAGGAUGUUUGCGAUGGCACACAUGACCCAUUUUGGGAGGAAGCUCAGCACAUUUCUUAUGCAAAUUAAACCCACAAUCAAGAGAGAAGUAUGUAUAAAUUGCUAAUGGUUCCCAACACGCAAAGCACUUACCCAGGUUUCCACCAUCGUUCUUAGAGGAAAACGAUGGAUCCUCAAGGGCCACAUGCUCAAGCUCUUUCAAAUUUCUUUCAGCAAUAUUAAAUGUAAACAAAGCACAUUUAAUAUGAAAGUUCAAGCCACAAGAGCAAUGGUAAAUGAAUUUCUCACAUGUUUCAUCACAGAAAUCGCAAACGCACCUUGUGUAAGAAGAUGGUGGAUUCUGCAAAAGCAGGAGAGGAUGGUGGCGAUGAAAAGGAUGAUUAAGCUCCAAAGGUGCCUGGGCACACGUCUUGUGGAGGUAAAACCCACUGCACUCCACACAGCUAAAACAUGGAGCUGACACCUUCUCCCCACACCUUGAGCAAUCAACAACUCCAUUGCCAUUGCCAAGCAACUGCUCUUCAUUUAACAUCAACAGUGGAUGUUGAUGCCCGUAGUUCUUUAGCUCUUCCAUUUCUCCUUCCUCUCUGUAUCUUUCGAUGUGGUAGAGAAAGAAAAAUUGAAAUUGAAUAACUCAAAGAAAGCAGAAAAUUAGAAGGGAGAGAUUCCAAAUGUUUAUUUGUAGGAGUCUCUUUGAACUUGCUAUGGUACUUUGCUUCGACGGUGUGUUGCCUAUACCCAUAUAUGUUUCUUCUUUAUAAUUACUAUGAAUGGGAUGCAAUGGGUUUGAGUGUACUCUUAAGUAAAUUAUCAAUUUUUUUCCUUUAUUCUUUGCUUUGUGGAUUAACUAAUUUUGUGGAUUAGAUAAUGAAUAUUCUGAUAUUGUUUGUGUGUAAAAAUAUAAGAUAAUAAGAUGAAAGGUAUUUUUAUAGGUUACGAGUUUUUCAAUUGAGAAUGAUAUCAAACAAUCAAAUUAUUCUAAAAAAAUUUGAAUCAAACAAUCAAACCAUUUAUCUAAUCGAAAAUUAAAAGCCUAUUUAAUUUAUUCUGGUGAUUAGAAUAAAAAAAUUUUGAACAAAGCUAGAUAGAUUAAUUAUACAAUUACCGAGCCACCAAUCGGCUCUCUUAGGAUAAUCUGCUACAGAAAUUACUCUUAACUCCCUUGGUAUUUGCUCAACCACUUCAAUCCCAAUGGGGUCAUCGUUCAUUAAACUAACCAUAUAAUUAGAUGUGAAUGAGACAUCUUUAUUAUAGGAAUGAUCCACAUUCGCUGUCCUGCAGUACAAAACUGUUGGAACACUGGCAGCAACAACCAAACAAUGAAACACUAAGAGCAUAAGCUCUUCAAACAGCAAGCAGAAACACAAAGCAUCAAGAGCAUAAGCUCUCGGUUAACAGGCAGAAAAAAGAAAAAGAAAGAACAAUGGCAGCAGCUCUUAGAAAAAGAACAAAACAGAGAACAAAGGAGGAAGAAACAAAAAUAAUUUACUUGCUCACAAACGUGCAGCAAGGAAGCAAUCUAAGUUUCACAACUGAUAUGCUUAAUUUUUCAAUAAGAAAAACAAUACAUUUAUAGCCAACCACAUCAGUUAUUACUACCUAAUACCACUAAGUAGCCUAGUAACUUUAAAAACAUUGCUUGUACACAUGGAUAAGCUGACUUAUCAGCUCAACCAACCCAUCAAAACAUCAACAUCAAAGUUCAUUCUCAACCAAACUAAAUUACAGAAUCAUCAUAGUACCAUGCAUUUUAACAAAAACAUAAUAGCAGCAUGGUUGGCCAUUUUUAACACAAACUGAAUCUACAAGCUAAUGAUAGAAACAUAAACCAAAAUAUAUAGUACAUUGUUUGAUUAAAAUUGAAAACAUGGUUCAUAUUUGUCCACUGUAAUGUUCAGGUGUUCAAUAACAUGCAAAAGAUAUAUAUAUAUAUAUAGUCUAAUGACAGCUUCAAGUUUAUCUAAGCAAAUACGAAUAUAUCACCCAAAACUUCCCACAGAAACUCAAAUUUAAGUACUAAUAAGUUCAUAAAACAAGUUAAACGAAAGAUUACAUCAAGGGAAAAAGACAAUCCAGACAAGUAACUAUACCGAUACUCAUAUUUAAUCGAACUCAUAAAGCGAUAAACGCUUGUCGUUUGUGCUUGAGGAAUGUCUGAAGCUCUUUAUAACCACUCCUGUAAUGGUCCAGACUGAAUGUAAGCUGUCUUAUUACCUCUCUUUUCUCUUCUGACACAUCUAAGAUCAUGUUCCUUUGCUUAUCCACUUCCUUCUCAAGGUCCUUUAUCUUCAAUUUCAACUCAUCUUCUAGAUUCUUUGUUAGCUGCAUAUGUUCCUUGCUUAAUUGUUGUAAAUGAUCCUCCAUUUGUCUGAUCUGUAAAUCACGAGAACGAACCUCGGCCACGAGAUUGUUUACUGUUGCAGUAACACAAUCUUUGUCUUUCAUAAGCAUAUCAUAUUUCAAUUUCAUUUUGUCAAGGUUCUUAUUCAAAGCUUCUAUCUGUAUACCUUUCUCAUUAAGUUCGGUCUUCAAUUGAUUGAUCUGACCUUGUAAGUUGGUUUCUUGUACAGCAAGCAAGCUUUCGAUAACUGGUAAUGGCGACACACAAUCAAUGUGAAUAGCCAACUCACAAGGUGAACAACCAUACAAAUAUCCUCUUCCUUGAGUUACUUGGCAUAUUUUGCAAGCACGCCGUUCACUAUUAAAUUGCAAAACAAGAGGAUGUUUGCGAUGACACGAAUGAUCCAUUUUGAGAGGAAGCUCAGCACACCUCUUAUGCAAUUUAAACCCACAAUCAAGAAAGAAGUAUGUAUACAUUGCUAAUGGUUCCCAGCACACAAAGCACUUACCCAGGUUUCCACCAUCGUUUUUAGAGGAAAACGAUGGAUCCUCAAGGGCCACAUGCUCAAGCUCUUUCAAAUUUCUUUCAGCAAUAUUAAAUGUAAACAAAGCACAUUUAAUAUGAAAGUCCAAGCCACAAGAGCAAUGGUAAAUGAAUUUCUCACAUGCUUCGUUGCAGAAAUCGCAAACGCACCAUGUGUAAGGAGUGUAAGGUGGAUUGUUGAAGUCAACCCCCAUGCAACAGCCAAGGUGACCAUGCAAGGUGGCCAUGCAGGGAUCGUGCUUUAACAGCAAACCGAAACUGCAUUGUUUCAUUUGGUUACUCAAAUGAACAUUUUGUAUUUUAGUUUGUUUUGAACUAAGUUGGUAACUGUAUUUUGAUGUAAUUAGGUGCUGAAUGACAAGUUUAGGUAGAAGUUUAUGUUUUCAAUCAAGUUUACCAAGUUACUAGGCAAUUUAGUGGUGUUAGGUAUGUUAUUAGGUGGCAACUUGUUUGUUUUGCUGUUGUUAUCUCAUAUAUGUAUUGGUAUUAUGGCUUGUAAAAAUGUUAAUGAAAAUUCAGCUCAUUUUCAUUCAAUUUCAUCUCUUUCUUUUCUGUUCUCCAUUGCAAAAUUUCUUUCUUCUUCUUCAAUAGUUUAUUCAGCAAGGCUCGACACUUGCUGUGCAAGCAAGCUGAAACCAUCUUGCUAUUACCUCUUGCACCAACAAUUGGUAUCUAGAGCCGUUGUCUUAGUGGACCUGUUGCUUCAAACCAAGGAACCUGAUGGCUUCUUCAGGAUUUUCACCAGCAGCCCCACCAGUCUUCAAUGGAGAAAGCUUUCACAUAUGGCUGGUAAAGAUGAAGACUUACCUGCAGGCCUUUGAUCUGUGGGAAGUUGUUAACACAGAUGCUGAGCCAGCACCACUGAGGGCUAAUCCCACAGUAGCUCAGAUCAGACAACAUGCUGAUGAGAGGACCAAAAGGCACAAAGCCAUGUCCUGCAUUCAGAACUGUGUAUCAGAUGUCAUCUUUACCAAAAUUAUGGCCUGUGAGACUCCAAAACAGGCCUGGGACAAGCUUAAGGAGGAGUUUCAAGGCACUGAGAGGACAAGGCAACAACAGCUGUUGAAUUUGAGAAGGGAUUUCGAGAAUCUGAAGAUGUAGGAAGAAGAAACAGUGAAGCAGUAUUCAGAUAGAAUUAUGGCAGUGGUUAACAGUAUAAGGCUCCUAGGUGAGCACUUUGAUGAGGCAAGAAUUGUGGAGAAAGUCCUCUCCACUUUGCCUGAGAAAUAUGAAGCAAAGAUAUCCUCCCUAGAGGACUCAAGAGACCUUGCUAGCAUCUCUUUGACUGAGUUAAUCAACACCUUCUAUGCUCAGGAACAAAAGAGAGCUAGCAGAGCUGAAGAUCACCAAGAAGGUGCAUUUCAAGCCAAGGCCAGAGAAGCCUCGAGCACCAAUGCUCAAAGAGGCAAAAAGCCUUGGAAAAGCAGGCCUAAGCCUGAUGCUGCAAGGAGCAAUGACCAGCCCUGCAGAUAUUGCAAGAAGCUAGGCCAUCCAGAAGACAGAUGUUGGUUCAGGCCAGAAGCAGUAUGCCAGCACUGCAAGAAGAAGGGCCAUGUUGAAAGGGUUUGCAAAAAUAGAACCAAGCCAAGGCAGAGCCAAUUUCAACAACCAAAGGUUGAAGCUCGAGUAGCUGAGGACAGUAGUGACCAAGAGGAGCAGGUCUUUGCUGUUUCUUGCUUAACUGCUGAGAAGAAAUCUUCAAAAGGUUGGCUAUUGGACAGUGGUUGCACUAACCACAUGUCACCAGAUGCCUCCUUGUUUAAAACCUUGGAUAGAAGUUGCAAAACCAAGGUCAAGGUUGGAAAUGGCCAGUUUAUAAAGGCUGAAGGAAGAGGAGAGGUGCUGAUAUGUACUCCUACAGGUAACAAGGUCAUACCAAAUGUGCUUUUGGUGCCUGAGAUUGACAGAAACCUUCUCAGCAUAGCCCAAUUGCUUGAGAAAGGUUAUUCUGUUGUAUUCAAGGAUAAACAGUGCCACAUUGCAGAUCCAAGUGGAUCAAGCCUUAUGACAGUCACAAUGACUGAUAAAUGCUUUAAGGUUCAUUGGUCAAAUGACUCAAAGUCAGCAUAUACAGCCUCUAUAGAUGACUCCAAACUCUGGCAUAGAAGGCUUGGACAUGCCAACUUCAGGUCAAUGGGUCGAAUGGCCAGUGAGGGCUUGGCUGAGAACUUCACCAACUCAGUGGAGUAUGAUGAUGUGUGUGAGGUCUGCCAGAUGGGGAAACAGGCAAGAUUGCCAUUUUCUACAAAUGCAGCAUGGAGAGCUACUGAAAGACUGCAGCUGGUGCACUCUGAUGUAUGUGGCCCGAUGAGGACUGAAUCACUCAGCAAAAACAGGUAUUUCAUCCUCUUCAUUGAUGAUUUUACAAGGUUUUGCUGGAUUUUCUUCUUAAAACAUAAGUCUGAGGUAGCUCAAGUGUUUGUGAAGUUUAAAACUACUGUAGAAACAGAAACAGGUUGCAAGCUGAAAUCGAUAAGGUCAGACAAUGGCACUGAGUACACUUCAGCUCAGUUUCAAGCCAUUUGCAAGGAUGCUGGCAUCAAACACCAGCUUACAAAUGUCUACACACCUCAGCAGAAUGGGGUAUCUGAAAGAAAGAACAGAAGUCUGAUGGACAUGGCCAGGUGCCUGUUGUUUGAGAAGAAACUGCCCAAAGCCAUGUGGGCUGAGGCAGUGAACACUGCUGUUUACCUACAGAACAGACUUCCAACCAAAGCUCUUACUCACAAGACACCUUUUGAGGCAUGGUUUGGUUUCAAACCUUCAUUGGCUCAUCUAAAGGUGUUUGGUUGCUUGUGUUAUACACAGAUACCAACAGUAAAGAGGGAUAAGCUAUCAAAGAGAGCUCAGGCUGGCAUCCUAGUUGGCUAUAGCUUAGUCAAAAAAGGAUAUCGGAUCCUGGACCCCUUGACAAGUAAAAUUCAAGUGAGUAGGGAUGUGAUUUUUGAUGAAAAGGCAUGCUGGAAUUGGGAUAAGAAUUCACCAGAAGCUGAGGUAAAUGAAAUGGUGCCUAACCAAGCUGAACUUGAGCAACUUUGUCCUGAAGUGGACUUUGAUGAUGUGCCUGUAAGAGGCACAAGGCUCUUGGAUAAAAUUUAUGAAAGAGCACAGGUUGCCAAAGUUGAACCUACCUGUUUUGAAGAAGCUGAGACAGAUGAAGGUUGGAAGCAAGCAAUGGCAAAAGAGAUCAGCAUGAUUGAGAAGAAUCAGACUUGGGAACUGGUUGAAAAACCUGUCAACAGAAGGAUCAUUGGAGUAAAAUGGGUUUAUCGAGUCAAGCACAAUGCAGAUGGAAGCUUAAACAAACUGAAAGCUAGACUGGUUGUAAAAGGCUUCAGUCAAAAAUAUGGUUUGGACUACAUGGAAACAUUUGCUCCAGUAGCCAGACUUGAUACAAUCAGAUUGCUUGUGGCUCUUGCUGCUCAAAACCAGUGGUCAAUUCACCAGAUGGAUGUAAAGUCUACAUUUCUCAAUGGCUUUCUGGAAGAGGAGAUAUAUAUUGAACAACCUCCAGGUUUUGUAAUGCCUAGUAGAGAACACUUGGUAUACAGGCUCAAAAAGGCCUUGUAUGGCCUAAAACAGGCUCCUAGAGCCUGGUAUGCUCGAAUUGAUUCAUACCUGAUCAGCUUAGGAUUCGAAAGAAGUUCUAGUGAACCAACUCUUUAUGUUAAGAAGAAUCAAGCAGAAACACAGCUUAUUGUGUCUCUUUAUGUGGAUGAUCUCCUUGUGACAGGAGGAGACAAGACUAUGUUAGAAGAUUUCAAAGGAAAAAUGAAGGAGAUGUUCGAGAUGUCAGAUUUGGGGUUGAUGACUUAUUUCCUUGGAAUAGAGAUACAACAAGCUGAUCAAGGGAUCUUUUUGGGACAAAAGGCAUUUGCUUUGAAAGUUUUAUCCAAGUUUUCAAUGCAAAAUUGCAAGCCAACAUGCACACCUAUGGCAGUUGGCAUAAAACUGUCGAGCCAAGAAGAACAUGAGCCUGUCAAUGAAUCAUUUUAUAGGAGCCUUGUUGGUUGUUUUCUGUAUUUAACAGCAACAAGACCUGACAUUCUGUUUGCUGUGAGCAUGCUAUCAAGGUUCAUGCACUGCUGUAACCAGCAACAUUACAAGGCUGGGAAAAGGGUGCUAAGAUACAUCAAAGGUACCUUAAACCAUGGAAUAUAGUUUAGAAGGGCUGAAGAGUUGAAACUGAUUGGCUACACUGAUAGCGAUUGGGCUGGUUCAAAGGAUGACAUGAAGAGCACUUCUGGCUAUGCUUUUACACUUGGCUUAGCUAUAAUAUGUUGGAGCUCAAGAAAACAAACAAUGGUGGCUCAAUCAACAGCAGAAGCAGAGUAUGUAGCAGCUGCCAAUGCUGUUAAUCAAGCUAUGUGGCUGAGAAAAAUUUUGAGCGAUUUGAAUCUACAGCAGAAUGAAGCAACUGUGAUACAUUGUGACAACAAGUCAGCAGUUGCUAUUGCUAAAAAUCCUGUCUUCCAUGGCAGGACAAAACAUUUCAACAUUAAACUCCAUGUGAUAAGAGAAAUGGAACAAGCUCGAGAGAUCGAGCUAAUUCAUUGCAGCUCAGAAGGUCAGAUCGCCGAUAUCUUCACAAAAUCACUUGGUACAUCGAGAUUUCUAAACCUAAGGAAGCAGCUAGGAGUCUGCUGCAUAGAAGCUGAGGAGGAGUGUUGAAGUCAACCCCCAUGCAGCAGCCAAGGUGACCAUGCAAGGUGGCCAUGCAGGGAUCGUGCUUUAACAGCAAACCGAAACUGCAUUGUUUCAUUUGGUUACUCAAAUGAACAUUUUGUAUUUUAGUUUGUUUUGAACUAAGUUGGUAACUGUAUUUUGAUGUAAUUAGGUGCUGAAUGACAAGUUUAGGUAGAAGUUUAUGUUUUCAAUCAAGUUUACCAAGUUACUAGGCAAUUUAGUGGUGUUAGGUAUGUUAUUAGGUGGCAACUUGUUUGUUUUGCUGUUGUUAUCUCAUAUAUGUAUUUGUAUUAUGGCUUGUAAAAAUGUUAAUGAAAAUUCAGCUCAUUUUCAUUCAAUUUCAUCUCUUUCUUUUCUGUUCUCCAUUGCAAAAUUUCUUUCUUCUUCUUCAAUAGUUUAUUCAGCAAGGCUCGACACUUGCUGUGCAAGCAAGCUGAAACCAUCUUGCUAUUACCUCUUGCACCAACAUGGAUUCUACAGAAGCAGGAGAGGAUGGUGGCGAUGAAAAGGAUGAUUAAGCUCCAAAGGUGCCUCGGCACAUGUCUUGUGGAGGUAAAACCCACAGCACUCCACACAGCUAAAACAUGGAGCUGACACCUUCUCCCCACACCUUGAGCAAUCAACAACUCCAUUGCCAUUGCCAAGCAACUGCUCUUCAUUUAACAUCAACAGUGGAUGUUGAUGCUCAUAGUUCUUUAGCUCUUCCAUUUCUCCUUCCUCUCCGUCUCUUUCGAUGUGGUAGAGAAAGAAAAAUUGAAAUUGACUAACUCAAAGAAAGCAGAAAAUUAGAAGGGAGAGGUUCCAAAUGUUUAUUUGUAGGAAUCUCUUUGAACUUGCUAUGGUACUUUGCUUCAACAGUGGGUUGCCUAUACCUAUAUAUGUUUGAUCUUCUUUAUAAUUACUAUGAAUGGGAUGCAAUGGGUUUGAGUGUACUCUAAGUAAAUUAUCAAUUUUUUUCCUUUAUUCUUUGCUUUGUGGAUUAACUAAUUUUGUGGAUUAGAUAACGAAUAUUCUGAUAUUGUUUGUGUGCCAAAAAAAACAAGAUGAUAUGAUGAAAGGUAUUUUUACAGGUUACGAAUUUUUCAACUGAGAAUGAUAUCAAACAAUCAAAUUAUUCUAAAAAAAUUGAAUUAAAUCAUUUAUCUAAUCGAAAAUUAAAAACCUAUUUAAUUUAUUCUGGUGAUUAGAAUAAAAAAAAUUUGAACAAAGCUAGAUAGAUUAAUUCUAACAUUUUUGUGAGGCUAAACCAUAAUUUUACCAUAUAUUAACUUAAUAUUUUAUAAAAUUUAGGAGAUUAAAGCAACAAUUAGAAAGAUAUAAAUCCCAACGUGUUUAAGCACAUAUUUUUUCUUUAAUUUAAAAUUAUGAAAAAAUUAUAAAUAAAAGUUAAUUAUAUUAUACUCUAAAGUCUAUUCUUUGUCAUAAAGUAUUCAACUUUUGCAGCCGACAAUAUUAAGAAAAAAAAUUUGUUCCUCCAACAAUCACUUUCUUUUAUAAUUAAAAUUUGAAUUUUGAUUUUCAAAGCCCUUAAUAUUUCAAACAAGUUGGUGGAAAUUUCCAAAUCGUCCCUUUAUUAUAAAGAUUUGUUUGAUUUAGUCUCUAUAUUAUUAAAUGAAUUGAUUUAGUCCGUGUACUAUUAAAAAGUAUCAAUAAGGGAAAAUUGGAAAAUACUUAAAUAUUUACUAUAUAAAAAAUGUCAUUUAUUGUUUCGUAUUUUUAAAUUUUUUACGGUUCUGUAAAUGAAAUCUUGUGUUUUGAAAAAAAAUAUUUUCAAGACAUUUUUUAUAUUGUUAACUUUGUUACAAAUUAGACAGACUUAAAUUUUUUUGAUAGUAUAGAGACUAAAUUUAUUUAUUUAAUAAUAGAAAUUUUAAUUUGGUCCAAUCCCUAUAAUACAAGGAACUCACGGGACAAACACAAUAAAUUUGAUGCUAACCUAUGAAGUUUUGAAAAUUAAUGUAUGCAAUUAUAAAAUGAUACAUGCGUAGUUGACUAUGUCAAAAUGGGAAGUAAAUGGGAUAAAUCUCAAAAUUAUACAUACAUGAACUUUAUUUUGGUGCAAUUAUAGACGUGAAACGCUAUUGUGAUUCAAAUGUAUAUUUGAAACUUUAAUUUUGAUUUAAUCAUACACAUUUAAAGAAAUAAAGUCAAGUUUUAUUUUUAUAUUGUAUAAAAAUAAUAUUUAUGUAUGCAAUAUAUAAACAUAAAAUGAUGUUAUAUCAAUAAUCAUGUUAAUAAUUUAAAAGAAUAGGAUCAAAUUAAAAUUUCAUGUAUAUAAUUGCACAUUAAAUCAUAGUUCGUAUAUAAUUUUGAAAUUUAUCCAUAAAUAAAUUAGUUAAAUUUUUAAUUGGAUUUAACCUCUCUUUUGCACAUAUUAUAAUUUAUUCAUGGAGCUUCACAAAAAAGCAUAAUCGUAAUCAAAAUCAAGAUUAUGGAGUUUAAAAUGAUAAAGUUUUUUGAAAAUCGUAAUAUUUUAGAUUUAAAUUUCAUCAUUAGUAGGUUUGAUGUUUUUAGUCUAUUAGUUCAUGAUACUAACUUGAUUAGAAAUUUUCAGUUGGAAUAAUUUGUCCACUUCAAUUGUACAAACUAUUAAAAAAACCCAUAAAUAUAUAAAAAAUAUAUAUAUAUAUUCAACCAUAAAUUUAUAUCGAUUCAUAGAUCAAUCGAUCCAACUUCUUAUUUCGAACUGAUACCUCAAUUAGAAGUGUCCAUGAGACUUGCAAUAUACAUGGGGCAUCUGCACAGCUCACUCCCGAUCAAGCAAGCAUCGAAUUCUUCGAAACCGUGCAGCAUUAGUAAGGAGACAUUUUUUCAAAGUGAGCAUAUUUCAAUUUCAUUUUGUCAAGGUUCUUAUUCAAAGCGUCUAUGUGUAUACCUUUCUCAUUAAGUUCUGUCUUCUUCCUUAGUUCCUUAUAUGCACUCUUAACAGUGAAGUCACCAUCAAAUGAUUGCGAAGUAGGUCCCACUUCCAUGAGUUGUCUUAUUUUUUCCUCCAAUACACUUCCAAGCAGGGAAAGAGCUAUCGAGGGCGGAACUUGAAGGUGUUCUGGUUUUUGUUGAACCUUUUUUGUUUCAUGUCAAUGGGACCUUAUCCAAUUGGCAAUGGUGGGAAAACAAAGUUUGCCAUUUUGAUCCAUUUGUAAGGUUAAGUCACUUGGCAGUGGGGGUUUCACAGUUGAGUGGCAAGGGCUAUGGAGGCGGAAGCUUCUUUUUGUCUGUAUUUUUUUAGUUUUAUGUAAUUUCGUUGAUAGGAUAGAAUGGUUAAAGUGAUAUGUUCAGGGUGAGAAUCCAACUUGAGUAACUGUUCACCUGCACUGAAUAACUUGUAUGUUGAGAAAUUUAAAUUCUUGGUGUUAUUUUGUUGGGUUGAAGUUAUUGAUGUUAGAUGUAUGUAUGUGUGUGUUGUAUGGUAGAUAUUGUAUAUGGUUGAUAUUUUAAGUUCUAUGGAAUCUGGCUCUUUUUGAAGUAAAUGAUUGAGGUCAAUUUGUUGAGUUGAAAUAUGUAGGAUAUGGCAUUUGAAUUUUAUGAUUCCUAUUUGUGGAGCAAGAUAAAUGUAUGAUUUGGUUAAGGUUGCUUGCCUUUGUAUGUGAUGUUUGAAAUGUGGUGCUAAUGAGGGCUAUGUUGGUUAGGUUCUUAUAUUGUAUGAAAUUGACAUGUUUUGACUUGUUUUGAGGUGUAUUUGAUGACAUUUUUAGAGUGGUUAUAGGCUUGGUUUGGUAGCCAAGAUAGGUUUGAAAUUUGCCUUGUUUUGGAAGCAAAAAUUGGUGCACAUGGUCAGGGAUACAGGCUAUACAUGGUCUACCCUCGGUCCCAUACGGCCGUGUGUCCUAAUGAUUUUAGGUGCAGGGCACACACGGUCUAAGACACAACCAGCGACAUGGUCGUGUGACCCAAAAACAAAUACACACACGGGCAGUCACACGGCCAUGUGACCUUAAUUUGAAUAUACACAUGGGUGGGCACACAGUCGUGUAUCUCGACUUUGAAUGUCCACACAGUCUAGGCUAUUACACACGGCCAUGUGUCCCUUGUUUUAAAAAUUUUCAUCUUUUUUCCUAACUUUUCCGUUUUGUUCCAAAUUGACCCUAGAAUGUUUCUAAUUUACUUUUAGGGCUCCGUAAACUCAGUUUAAGGCCUGUAAAUGUAUGUUUAUUGUGAAUUGAUUGUGAUUUGAUUAAUUGUAAUUAUAUUGAAUAAUUGUUUUUAAGUAGUGUUAAAUGUUUGAAAUGUUAUAGUAAUACUCCAUGACUUUAAUUCAGCGACAGACACUGGUUCAGGGCGUUAAGUUUAAAUUAUCUUUUAUAAAUUUUAUAUAAAUGCAUGAAAAAUACAAAAAGAAACACUCUAUAAUAAUAUUUAUUAAUCAUUAAAACUUAGUUUUUUAAUAUACUUUUCUUGAUCGAGUUAGUGUCGAGCUAACUCAUGAUACUGUCUAAAUUCAUGACGCCAAUUCAAUCAUACACUUAAAUAAUAGUAAAAAUGUUAUUAUUUAUGAAAAGAUCAAAAUAUCAAUGUUGAAUCCCAAAAUGAAAUCAGCAAUUAAGAUUUGAAAUAUAAGUAGAGAUGGUAAUGGAGUGGGGCGGAAUGGUUUUUUGUCCACCUGAACCGAUAUACCUCUAACAUAAUCCGACUUUGAUCCAACUCAAAAUUAAAUAUUAAUUUACUUAUCUUGAACCUUACUCGAAAAAUUAAAGUUAUACCCUAUUUCGAUCAAUAUACCAAUACUUUUAAUUGUUUUUAUAUGUUUUUAUUAAAAUAGAAUAAUAGUUUUAAAGUUUUUAACGACAACAUUACUUUUUUUUUUGUAGUUAUAGUUAUGGUAGGGAAAAUAUUUUUAUAAUUAUCAUAUUUUAUAAUCUAAUAUUAUAUAUAAAUGUUUAUUUUGGUAAUUACGGGGCAAAUUUUUCUAAAUCGGAGAAAGAAUUAUAUGAAAUUGUGAUUCCACGUUAUCUGUAUCAUUUUCUAAUACGAAAAUGACAAAUCAGAAUUUAAGAUUUAAUCCAUGUACUUUAAAAGUUAAAAUUUCAAUUAUCCUACUUCUACGAUUUAAAAAUUCUAGUCCAAUUAUUAUUAUUUGUAAUUUUUUUGUCAAAAAAAUCAACUAACAUCAUAUGAAAUGUUAUAUGAUGGCAGUCUAAUCAGCAUGCCAAAUUGGAAGAUUUUGAUGGAAAUUAUUAACAAUGUUAAAGAUUAGAAUGAAAAUUUUAAAUCAGAAAAGUAAUAUGACUAAAUUUUAAAUUUUAUCUAAGCCAAAGGGACUAGCAACAUAUUUUCACAAAAGAAAUUGAUAGACUAAUUAAUUUAGGUUUUAGACUAAGCAAAAUUGUCAUUUCCAACUAUAUUCAACUUGUAUAAAUACGGAAGCUAAUAACUUUUCAUGGAAUCUAAGGACAAAAAAUAAUUAACAUACUGCAUGUAAGAAAAAGAAGAAAUAAGCAAAUCAUAUAAAUUUUAUUAUCAUAUAUUUACAGUUCAAACCUCACAAUUUUCAGCCUUAAAACAUUACAUUGAUUAAACAUACAAUUAAAAAGUAUCAAGCUUUAAGAACAACCACAAUUUUUUUUUUUUGGUGAAACUGAAGCCUCAAUUUUCAGCACCUACCACGGAUGGUUGAUUUUCUGCAUUCCCAAUAAGCAAUAUACUUGCAUCCUAGUUCUGCACAUUCAAUAAAAAUAUAUUUACAAGGCUUACUACAUUCAACACAUUCAGGAUAGUAAGGAAAGUUCUUGACAAAGUGAGAGGGUGUGGAUGGUCUCCCUCAUUGUAGGUGCUCCCGAGUUUGAUGAAUGGAUAUUUUCUAAGAACGCAAUCUACAUGAGCAGAAGUGUCACAAGUUUCACAAUGAUAAAACCAAUUCUUUGAAUCCCUUUUUUUCCUCACAAAUGUCACAAUAAUGAUAUUUUGUAUAAUCAUUAAUCUUGUGAUAAGUGAGGUUAAGAGGAUGAUCAUCUCAAUUGUGUCCGAUUCUAGUUGGUCGCAUAACACAAUGAAGGCAUAAACCAAAGUUACAAUCUUUACAACCAUAUGUGUUACUGAGAUCCGUCCCACAACCACUACACUGCUCCUCGAAAUGAUAAUAAUCAUAAUAGAAAAGAAGAGGGUGUUUAUGCCCUGGAAUUUUUAGAUCUUAUUGGAGAGUUGCACACCGAACGCACGUGUGAAUUCCACAUUCAUUACAUUUAUAAGAAAAUCCAUUAGAAAGGUAGCUGCAUUGAUCAGAUUCGAACAUGCAGUCUGAAGUAAGGAUGAAGGGUUUUGAUCCAGAAAAAAUAGAUGCAUAUAGUCUAUACCUUUUUUUCUUGGUAAAAAAAGGUCAUUGCGGUCCCAAUCAGAUAUACCUUUCUUUAUUGGGAUAAUAUAGUUUUUGGCCCUUAAACUUAAUAAUUAAAUUUUCUUUGAUACUUGUAUUUUUUUUACUUUGGUCUUUGAAUUUGAUAACUAAAUUCAUUUUGAUCCUUAAACUUGGUACUGGAGCAUUUUAUGAAUUUUAAUUAUUUAUUAAAUUAUUAUUGGUCCAACAGUUGUACUGAUCGAAUUGAGAAUCGGUGAUCUCGGUUAUUAAAACACUAAAUUUGACACUCUUAAAAUUAAUGUGUAGUUAAAUUUUAUUUUGACCCCCAAAAUGAAAAAAAAAUCAUUUCAGUCCUUUUAUAAAUAAAGAAAUUAUAAAUCAAUAUAUAGUAAAAUUUCUCUUUAGCCCCCUAAAAAUGAAAAAAAUUAUGUUUAAUUGCUUAAAAAUCAUGAAAUUAUAAAUUAAUACAUAAUAAACUUAUUUUUUAUCUAUGAAAAAAUUGUAAUUAAUUUCGCCCCUUGUUAAAAAAAUUUCUAGAUUCGCCCCUACCAAAGUGAAUGUUUAGGGGUCAAAAAUUAUAUUAUCCCUUCUUUAUCUUUCAUUUUUAUUUUCCAUUUUUUUUACAAUUUUUGGUAUUUAAUUAAGAGAAAAUUGGCCCUCAUUUUCAUCUCUUAUCUCAAGGUAUUCACGGUUAAAAAUUAAGAGAAUUAAGAGAAUUUUUGAGAGGUUAAAGCUAAAAUUCUUGCAUUAAAAUAAAUAUUAAACUUUUGAAAGGAUCAAAAAUGAAAAACUUUCAUUUAACAAAAACAAUUUAAAAAGAAUUAAAUUGAAUUUUUAAUAUUUUAGAAAGACUAAAAUUAAAUUGUAUCAUUUAAUCAAGGUUCAUAUUCUUCUUAUAAACCAACCCUUUAUUUAUUGAAAUAUAUAUUUGUUUCUCUGAAAAUAUUUCAUAAAAAAUAUUUUCAAAAAAUUUGCCAUGGAUUCUAAAUAAAAUUUCUUGUGAAACAAAUGGAUUGUAAACAUUUUUUUUAUAUCUAACUAUAUCCAACUUAUAUAAAUAUGGAAGGUAGCACAUAAGGACUAAUUAUUCAUGGAAUCUAAGGAUUUUUAUGAUUUUAGUUAGCAUGCAACAAAUUUAAUAUAUGAAAAUUAAAGAAGAUAUAAGCAACUCAUAUCAAUUUUAUUCUCAUAUAUUUACAAUUCAAAUCUAAAUAUAUUACAUUGUUUAAACACACAAUUAAAAAGUAGCAACCAUUAACAACAACCGCGCAUUGUCUUAUUCUGAAACUAAAGCCGCAAUUUUCAGUAUCUACCACCGAUUUCUGCAUUUCCAAUGAGCAAUAUAGUUACAUCCUAGUUCUGCACAUUCAACAGAAAGAUCUUCACAGCGCUUACCACAUUUAACACAUUCAGGAUAGUAAUGAAUCUUCUUGACAAAUGUGAGAGGGUGUUCAUGGUUUCCCUCAUUGUAGGUGCUCCCGAGUUUGAUGAAUGAAUAUUUUCCAAGAACGCAAUCCACGUGAACAGAAGUGUCACAAGUUUCACAAUAGUAAAACCAGUGCUUUGGAUCUCUUUCUUUCUCACAAAUGUCACAAUAAUGAUAUUUUGUAUAAUCAUUAACCUUGUCAUAAGUGAGUGCAAGAAUAUGUUGAUCGCAUUUGUGUCUAACUCUAGUUGGUCGUAGAGCACACAAAUGGCAUAAGUGAAGAUUGCAAUCCUUACAACGAAAUGCGCGAAUGAUAUCCCUCCCACAAGCACUACACUGCUCCUCAUAAUGAAAAUAGAAAAGAAGAGGGUGUUUAUGCCCUGGAAUUUUUACAGCAUCUUGGAGAAAUAGAUCAAGACAUCGAAGGCAGUCGGCUUCUCCACAUUCAUUACAUUUAUAAGAAAAUCCAUUAGAAAGGUACCUGCAUAGAUCACAUUUGAACAUGCAGUCUGAAGUAAGGAUGAAGGGUUUUGGUCCAGAAAAAAAUUGCGUUCCUCCACAUAAAUGUUUUGAAAAAGACUUCAUCUUAGGCAAUUCAGCACAAGAUUUAUGAAGAAAGAAAUCACACCGCGAGCAAUGGUAGAACUUAGCGGAGAUCAAUAACAAGCACCCAUCACAACAUUUAUCACCAUGCUCUCUGAUAUUGUCACUUAAUAUCAAGUGGUGCUUAUGCUUGCAAUGUUCUAUUACUGUGGCUUCUCCAGCAUCAUUCCUCUCAAGAACCUUAUUGAUGGAGUUAACAGGUAUAUCAAGAGACUUGUCAGCUUCAUUUUCCUGUGAUACUAUGCAAUACAACUUCUUUUCUUUCAAUGCACAAUCCACAUGGAAUAUAACAUUACAAUCUGCACAGAAGUAACUACCGUGCUCUGUAUCGACAACUUCAUGGCACAUAAUGCAAUUCAAACUUUCAAAAUAUUCCUUGUGAAUGAAAUACGUGUGAAAAACACGAUGGACAUGGAAAGAGUGUUGGAGAAUGCGUGGCAAUGAAAUGCAUUUUUUAUGGACCAUAAUACUGCAUGUACAACAUGCAUAGGCAACAUGAUGUCCUUCGGUGCCACAAGCAUCACAAAUGAAUGGAAUUUGUCUCCAAAUCAAGGUGAAUGGGUGUUGAUGACUUUUAUCUUCAAUAACUGGUAAUGGCGAUAAACAAUCAAUGUGAAUAGCCANNNNNNNNNNNNNNNNNNNNNNNNNNNNNNNNNNNNNNNNNNNNNNNNNNNNNNNNNNNNNNNNNNNNNNNNNNNNNNNNNNNNNNNNNNNNNNNNNNNNNNNNNNNNNNNNNNNNNNNNNNNNNNNNNNNNNNNNNNNNNNNNNNNNNNNNNNNNNNNNNNNNNNNNNNNNNNNNNNNNNNNNNNNNNNNNNNNNNNNNNNNNNNNNNNNNNNNNNNNNNNNNNNNNNNNNNNNNNNNNNNNNNNNNNNNNNNNNNNNNNNNNNNNNNNNNNCCACAUGCUCUAGCUCUUCCAAAUUUCUUUCCGCAAUAUUAAAUGUAAACAAAGCACAUUUAAUAUGAAAGUUCAAGCCACAAGAGCAAUGGUAAAUGAAUUUCUCACAUGUUUCAUCACAGAAAUCGCAAACGCACCUUGUAUAAGAAGUGUAAGGUGGAGUCUGCAGAAGCAGGAGAGGAUGGUGGCGAUGAAAAGGAUGAUUAAGCUCCAAAGGUGCCUGGGCACACGUCUUGUGGAGGUAAAACCCACUGCACUCCACACAGCUAAAACAUGGAGCUGACACCUUCUCCCCACACCUUGAGCAAUCAACAACUCCAUUGCCAUUGCCAAGCAACUGCUCUUCAUUUAACAUCAACAGUGGAUGUUGAUGCCCGUAGUUCUUUAGCUCUUCCAUUUCUCCUUCCUCUCCGUAUCUUUCGAUGUGGUAGAGAAAGAAAAAUUGAAAUUGAAUAACUCAAAGAAAGCAGAAAAUUAGAAGGGAGAGGUUCCAAAUGUUUAUUUGUAUGAAUCUCUUUGAACUUGCUAUGGUACUUUGCUUCAACAGUGGGUUGCCUAUACCUAUAUAUGUUUGAUCUUCUUUAUAAUUACUAUGAAUGGGAUGCAAUGGGUUUGAGUGUACUCUAAGUAAAUUAUCAAUUUUUUUCCUUUAUUCUUUGCUUUGUGGAUUAACUAAUUUUGUGGAUUAGAUAACGAAUAUUCUGAUAUUGUUUGUGUGCCAAAAAAAACAAGAUGAUAUGAUGAAAGGUAUUUUUACAGGUUACAAAUUUUUCAACUGAGAAUGAUAUCAAACAAUCAAAUUAUUCUAAAAAAAUUGAAUUAAACCAUUUAUCUAAUCGAAAAUUAAAAAUCUAUUUAAUUUAUUUUGGUGAUUAGAAUAAAAAAAUUUGAACAAAGCUAGAUAGAUUAAUUAUACAAUUACCGAGCCACCAAUCGGCUCUCUUAGGAUAAUCUGUUACAGAAAUUACUCUUAACUCCCUUGGUAUCUGCUCAACCACUUUAAUCCCAAUGGGGUCAUCGUUCAUUAAAGUAACCAUAUAAUUAGACGUGAAUGAGACAUCUUUAUUAUAGGAAUGAUCCACAUUCAUUGUCCUGCAGUACAAACUGAAUCUACAAGCUAAUGAUAGAAACAUAAACCAAAAUAUAUAGUACAUUGUUUGAUUAAAAUUGAAAACAUGGUUCAUAUUUGUCCAUUGCAAUGUUCAGAUGUUCAAUAACAUGCAAAAGAUAUAUAUAUAUAGUCUAAUGACAGCUUCAAGUUUAUCUAAGCAAAUACACAUAUAUCACCCAAAACUUCCCACAGAAACUCAAAUUUAAGUACUAAUAAGUUCAUAAAACAAGUUAAACGAAAGAUUACAUCAAGGGAAAAAGACAAUCAAGACAUGUAACUAUACCGAUACUCAUAUUUAAUCAAACUCACAAAGCGAUAACCGCGUGUCGUUUGUGCUUGAGGAAUGUCUGAAACUCUUUAUAACCACUCCUGUAAUGGUCCAGACUGAAAGUAAGCUGUCUUAUUACCUCUCUUUUCUCUUCAGACACAUCUAAGAUCAUGCUCCUUUGCUUAUCCACUUCCUUCUCAAGGUCCUUUAUCUUCAAUUUCAACUCAUCUUCUAGAUUCUUUGUUAGCUGCAUAUGUUCCUUGCUUAAUUGUUGUAAAUGGUCCUCCAUUUGUCUGAUCUGUAAAUCACGAGAACGAACCUCGGCCACGAGAUUGUUUACUGUUGCAGUAACACAAUCUUUGUCUUUCAUAAGCAUAUCAUAUUUCAAUUUCAUUUUGUCAAGGUUCUUAUUCAAAGCUUCUAUCUGUAUACCUUUCUCAUUAAGUUCUGUCUUCAAUUGAUUGAUCUGACCUUGUAAGUUGGUUUCUUGUACAGCAAGCAAGCUUUCGAUAACUGGUAAUGGCGACACACAAUCAAUGUGAAUAGCCAACUCACAAGGUGAACAACCAUACAAAUAUCCUCUUCCUUGAGUUACUUGGCAUAUUUUGCAAGCACGCCGUUCACUAUUAAAUUGCAAAACAAGAGGAUGUUUGCGAUGACACGAAUGAUCCAUUUUGAGAGGAAGCUCAGCACACCUCUUAUGCAAUUUAAACCCACAAUCAAGAAAGAAGUAUGUAUACAUUGCUAAUGGUUCCCAGCACACAAAGCACUUACCCAGGUUUCCACNNNNNNNNNNNNNNNNNNNNNNNNNNNNNNNNNNNNNNNNNNNNNNNNNNNNNNNNNNNNNNNNNNNNNNNNNNNNNNNNNNNNNNNNNNNNNNNNNNNNNNNNNNNNNNNNNNNNNNNNNNNNNNNNNNNNNNNNNNNNNNNNNNNNNNNNNNNNNNNNNNNNNNNNNNNNNNNNNNNNNNNNNNNNNNNNNNNNNNNNNNNNNNNNNNNNNNNNNNNNNNNUUGAGAAUUAAUGAUACUUGUGAAAUUGUCAUCGUUGAGAUUCAAUUUCUUAGUGUUAUUUUGUUGGGUUGAAGUUAUUGAUGUAUGUAUGUUUAGUAUGGUAGAUAUUGUAUAUGGUUGAUAUUUUAAGUUGUAUGGAAUUUGGCUCUUUUGAAAGUAAAUGAUUCAGUUCAAUUUGUUGACUUGAAAUAUGUAGGAUAUGGCAUUUGAAAUUUAUGAUUCCUAAUUGUGGAGCAAGAUAAAUGUAUGUAUGACUUGAUCAAGGUUGAAUGUCUUUGUAUGUGAGUGUUUGAAAUGUGGUGCCAACGAGGGCUAUAUUGGUUAGGCUCUUAGAUUGUAUGGAAUUGACAUGUUUUGAGAUGUAUUUGAUGACAUUUAUAGAUUGGUUAUAGGCUUGGUUUGGUAGCCAAGAUAGGUGUGAAAAUUGCCUUGUUUUGGAAGCAAAAAUUGGUGUACAUUGCCAGGGACACUGGCUGUACACGGCCUACCCACAUGGUCGUGUGUCUUAAUGAUUUUAGGUGCAGGUCACACACGGUCUAAGACACAGCUAGUGACAUGGUCGUGUGACCCAAUAUCAAAUGCACACAUGGGCAGGCGCACGGCCGUGUGACCUUGAUUCAAAUAUACACACGGGCGGACACACGGUCGUGUGUCUCGACUUCAAAUGUCCACACAGUCUGGGCUGUGACACAUGGCCGUGUGUCCCUUAUUUUCAAAAUUUUCAUCUUUUUCCUAACUUUUCUGUUUUGUUUCAAAUUGGCCCUAGAAUGUUUCCAAUUUAUUUUUAGGGCUCCGUAAACUCAGUUCAAGGCCCAUAAGUGUAUGUUUAUUGUGAAUUGAUUGUGAAUUGAUUAAUUGUAAUUAUAAUGAAUAAUUGUUUUUAAGUAGUGUUAAAUGUUUGAAAUGUUAUCGUACUAUUCCGUGACUCCAAUCCGAUGACAGACACUGGUUUCUUAAGUUUAAAUUGUCUUUUAUAAAUUUUAGAUAAAUGCAUGAAAAAUACAAAAGCACUCUAUAGUAAUAUUUAUUAAUCAUUAAAACUUGAUUUUUGAAUACUUUUCUUGAUCGAGUUAGUGUUGAGCUAAGUCAUGAUACUAUCUAAAUUCAUUAUGCCAAUUCAACCAUACACUUAAAUAAUAGUAUAAAUGUUAUUGUUUAUGAAAAGAUCAAAAUAUCAAUGUUGAAUCCCAAAAUGAAAUCAACGGUUAAGAUUUGAAAUAUAAGUAGAGAUGGUAAUGGAGUGGGGCAGAAUGGUUUUUUGUCCACCUGACUUGAUACAUCUCUAACAUAAUCUGACUUUGAUCCAACUCAAAAUUAAAUAUUAAUUUACUUAUCUUGAACCUAACUCGAAAAAUCAAAGUUAUACCCAAUUUCGAAUGAUAUACCACUACUUUUAAUUGUUUUUAUAUAUUUUUAUUAAAAUAGAGUAAAAGUUUUAAAGUUUUUAAUGAUAACAUUACUUUUUUUUGUAGUUAUAGUUAUGCUAGGGAAAAUAAUUUUAUAAAUUGUUAUUAUCAUAUAUUAUAAUCUAAUAUUAUAUAUAAAUGGUUAUUUUGGUAAUUACGGGGCAAAUUUUUCUAAAUCGGAGAAAGAAUUGUAUGAAAUUGUGAUUCUACCUCAUCUGUAACACCCCUUACCCGAGACCGUUUCCGGAGUCGAGCACGAGGCAUUACUUAGCUUAUCUUACCAAUUCGGAGCAUAAAAACUAGGUUUGAAAAUUUAUUUCACUAUUUACAGCAAAUCUGUCCAAUCGCGCAGCAGUUACUAAAUUAAUUAUAACUUGAGCUACAGAACUCGAAAUUUAAUUCCGUAAAUUUUCCCUGAAACUAGACUCAUAUAUCUACUCACCAUAAAAUUUUUAGAAUUUUUGGUUCAGCCAAUUAGUACAGUUUAUUAGUUAAAGUCUCCCCUGUUUCACCAUUCGACUAUUCUGACCUCUUGUUACUAAAAAUAACUUUUCUCGUUAUAGGAUUUUCAUAUGCUAUUCCCACUUGUUCCUACAGAAAAUAGACUCAUUAAGGAAUCUAAGCAUGUAAAUUUCAGCUCAUAACCAUUUUUGUACAAUUUGUAAUUAUUUUCUAAACUCAGAACAGGGGACUCCAAAAACUGUUCUGACCCUGUCUCACGAAAAUUCACAUAUCUUAAAAUAUAAAUUUCCUUUUUCUACACCGUUAUUUUUCUAUGAAAAUAGACUCAACAAGCUUCAAUUCCAUAUAUCAUUCACCCUAUAAUUCAUUUUAUACUAUCUUGGGUGAUUUUUCAAAUUCACGUCACUGUGCUGCCUGAAUUCUGUUUCUUUGCAAAAUUUUAUCCUUUCAUGAUUUCCAUGCAUAAUUUAUCACCUAAUCUUUCAUAACAACAAACACCUUCAUCCUUAACCAUUUUAAUGACCAUACAUCAUCAAAUACUUACACAUCACUCAUUAGCAAAAUCAUCAUUACAAACAUACAAAAAAACUAAAUCCCUAUACAUGCCAUAACUCAAACGUGUUUCGAUAUAAAAUACCGAGCAGUUGUAGUUGAUAGUGUGGACGAUCUCCGACUUCUUUAGGAUCCUUGAAGUAGCUUUGCAAUACUAUAAGAGAAAGAGAAAUAAAAGAAGUAAGCAUAAAGCUUAGUAAGUUUACUAGCAAAUAAAUAACAAUAUUUAACUUAAAUAAUUAAACUCAAUGUCUAUAUCUCUAGUUUACUCUUUAGUUAAUCUCAUACUAGUUCUCUUACUUGUUUACUUAGAAUACUUGUGUGCAUAACUUACUCAAUCCUUGCUGCAUCGUUGAACAUCAAUUGAUAGUAUAAUAAGUUCUUAAGUCUUACAACUUACCUGAGCUUGCCAUUUAUGCUUUAAACUGAACUUUCAUGAACAUGAUUCAUUUACAAGCCCGUUGAGCUACAUUGGAAUAAUAAGGAUACUCGGGUCUCUUCUGAUAAUAACAUGCCAAGCCAUGUCCCAGACAUGGUCUUACAUGGGAUGUUCUCAUGUUGGUGCCCAUGCCAUGUCCCAGACAUGGUCUUAUAGGGACUCUCAUCUCGGUGCNNNNNNNNNNNNNNNNNNNNNNNNNNNNNNNNNNNNNNNNNNNNNNNNNNNNNNNNNNNNNNNNNNNNNNNNNNNNNNNNNNNNNNNNNNNNNNNNNNNNNNNNNNNNNNNNNNNNNNNNNNNNNNNNNNNNNNNNNNNNNNNNNNNNNNNNNNNNNNNNNNNNNNNNNNNNNNNNNNNNNNNNNNNNNNNNNNNNNNNNNNNNNNNNNNNNNNNNNNNNNNNNNNNNNNNNNNNNNNNNNNNNNNNNNNNNNNNNNNNNNNNNNNNNNNNNNNNNNNNNNNNNNNNNNNNNNNNNNNNNNNNNNNNNNNNNNNNNNNNNNNNNNNNNNNNNNNNNNNNNNNNNNNNNNNNNNNNNNNNNNNNNNNNNNNNNNNNNNNNNNNNNNNNNNNNNNNNNNNNNNNNNNNNNNNNNNNNNNNNNNNNNNNNNNNNNNNNNNNNNNNNNNNNNNNNNNNNNNNNNNNNNNNNNNNNNNNNNNNNNNNNNNNNNNNNNNNNNNNNNNNNNNNNNNNNNNNNNNNNNNNNNNNNNNNNNNNNNNNNNNNNNNNNNNNNNNNNNNNNNNNNNNNNNNNNNNNNNNNNNNNNNNNNNNNNNNNNNNNNNNNNNNNNNNNNNNNNNNNNNNNNNNNNNNNNNNNNNNNNNNNNNNNNNNNNNNNNNNNNNNNNNNNNNNNNNNNNNNNNNNNNNNNNNNNNNNNNNNNNNNNNNNNNNNNNNNNNNNNNNNNNNNNNNNNNNNNNNNNNNNNNNNNNNNNNNNNNNNNNNNNNNNNNNNNNNNNNNNNNNNNNNNNNNNNNNNNNNNNNNNNNNNNNNNNNNNNNNNNNNNNNNNNNNNNNNNNNNNNNNNNNNNNNNNNNNNNNNNNNNNNNNNNNNNNNNNNNNNNNNNNNNNNNNNNNNNNNNNNNNNNNNNNNNNNNNNNNNNNNNNNNNNNNNNNNNNNNNNNNNNNNNNNNNNNNNNNNNNNNNNNNNNNNNNNNNNNNNNNNNNNNNNNNNNNNNNNNNNNNNNNNNNNNNNNNNNNNNNNNNNNNNNNNNNNNNNNNNNNNNNNNNNNNNNNNNNNNNNNNNNNNNNNNNNNNNNNNNNNNNNNNNNNNNNNNNNNNNNNNNNNNNNNNNNNNNNNNNNNNNNNNNNNNNNNNNNNNCUUGGAAGCUUGAAAACCCUAACUAUGGCUUCCCCCCUUGCUGAUUUCGUUCAUAUGAAGAAGAUGAUGAUUUUUGCCAUCUUUUUCCCUUUUAAUUCAUUUUAAUUACUAGAUUACCAAAUUGCCCCUAACUUAAAAAUUUUCUAUUUCACUUAUCUCAUGUCCAUUUUUGUCUACCAAGUUACCAAUGGUAUAAUUACCAUAUAAGGACCUCCAAUUUAAAGUUUCAUAACAAUUGGACACCUCUAACAUGUAGAACUCAACUUUUGCACUUUUACAAUUUAGUCCUUUUGACUAAAUUGAGUGCCCAAACGUCGAAAUUUUCGAACGAAAUUUUCACGAAAUCAUUUUGUGAAAUUGUAGACCAUAAAAAUAUAAGAAAAAUAAAAUUUUUCUCAUCGGAUUUGUGGUCCCGAAACCACUGUUCCGAUAACCUCAAAUUUGGGCCAUUACAUCAUCUGUAUCCUUUUCUAAUACGAAAAUGACAAAUCAGAAUUUAAGAUCUAAUCCAUGUACUUUAAAAGUUAAAAUUUCAAUUAUCCUACUUCAACAAUUUAAAAAUUCUAGUUCAAUUAUUAUUAUUUGUAAUUUUUUUUGUCAAAAAAAAAUUAAACUUAACAUGUUUAUUUUUUUUAUCAAUCAUAUGAAAUAUUAUAUGAUGGCAAUCUAAUUAACAUGCCAAAUUGGAAAAUUUUGAUGGAAAUUAUUAACAAUAUUAAAGAUUGGAAUGAAAUUUUUAAAUCAGAAAAGUAAAAGAACCAAAUCUCAAAUAUUAUCUAAGUCAAAGGACUAACAACAUAUUUUCACAAAAGAAAUUGAUAGACUAAUUUAGGUUUUAGACUAAGCAAAUUUUACAUAUCCAACUAUAUUCAACUUGUAUAAAUAUGGAAGCUAGCAUAUAAGGAUAAUAAUUUUUCAUGGAAUGUAAGGACAAAAAAAAAUUAACAUUCUAGCAUGUAAGAAAAAGAAAUAAGCAAAUCAUAUAAAUUUUAUUACCAUAUAUUUACGGUUCAAACCUCACCAUUUUCAACCUAAAAACAUUACAUUGUUUAAACACACAAUUAAAAAGCUAAAUAAAAGUAGCAAUCAUUAACAACAACACACUGUUCUUUUGUGAAACUGAAGCAACAAUUGUCAGCAUUUAUCACAGCAUCGCUGAUUUUCUACAUUUCCAAUGAACAAUAUAGUUGCAUCCUGGUUCUGCACAUUCAAGAGAAAGAUCUUCACAACGCUCACCACAUUCAAUACAUUCAGGGUAGUAAGGAAAUUUCUUGACAAAAGUGAGAGGGUGUGGAUGUUCUCCUUCAUUGUAGAUGCUCCCGAGUUUGAUCAAUGGAUAUUCUCCAAGAACGCAAUCCACGUGAGCAGAAGUGUCACAAGUUUCACAAUAGUAAAACCAGUUCUUUGGAUCCCUUUCUUUCUCACAAAUGUCACAAUAAUGAUAUUUUGCAUAAUCAUUAAUCUUGUCAUAAGUGAGUGUAAGAAGAUGUUUAUCGCAUUUGUGUCUAACUCUAAUUGGUCGCAGAACACACCAUGGGCAUAAAUGAAUAUUACAAUCCUUACAACGAAAAGGGCAAACGACAUCCUUCCCACAAGCACUACACUGCCCCUGAUAAUUAUAAUAGAGAAGAAGAGGGUGUUUAUGCCCUGGAAUUUUUACAACAUCUUGGAGACUUAGAGCAAAACAUCGAAGGCAUAUCGGACUUCCACAUUCAUUACAUUUAUAAGAAAAUCCAUUAGAAAGGUACAUGCAUAGACCACAUUUGAACAUGCAGGCUGAAGUAAGGAUUAAGGGUUUUAAUCCAGAAUAAAAUUCCGUUUCUCCACAAGCAUGUUUCGAAAAAAGCUUCAUCUUAGGCAAUUCAGCACAAGAUUUAUGAAGAAAGAAAUCACAUCGCGAGCAAUGGUAGAACUUAGCGGAGAUCAAUAACAAGCACCCAUCACAACAUUUAUCACCAUGCUAUCUGAUGUUGUCACUUAACAUCAAGUAGUGCUUAUGCUCGCAAUGUUCUAUGAGUGUGGCUUCUCCAGCAUCAUUCGUCUCAAGAACCUCAGUGAUGGAGUUAACAGGUAUAUCAAGAGACUUGUCAGCUUCAUUUUCCUGUGAUACUAUGCAAUACAACUGCUCUUCUUUCAAUGCACAAUCCACAUGUAAUAUAACACUGCAAUCUGCACAGAAGUAACUACCGUGCUCUGUAUCGACAACUUCAUGGCACCAUAUGCAAUUCAAACUUUCAAAAUAUUCCUUGCGAAUGAAAUACGUGUGAAAAACACGAUGAACAUGGAACGCGUGUUCGAUAAUGCGUGGCAAUGAAAUGCAUUUUUUAUGUACCAUAAUACUGCAUGUACCACAUGUAUAGGCAACAUGAUGUCCUUCAGUGCCACAAGCAUCACAAAUGAAUGGAAUUUGUCUCCAAAACAAGGUGAAUGGGUGUUGAUGACUUUUAUCUUCGAUAACUGGUAAUGGCGACGCACAUUCAAUGUGAAUAGCCAACUCACAAGGUGAACAACCAUACACAAAUCCUCUUUGUUGAGUUACUUGGCACACUUUGCAAGCAAGCCGUUCACUAUUAAAUUGCAAAACAAGAGGAUGUUUGCGAUGGCACAAAAGAUCCAUUUUGAGAGGAAGCUCAGCACACCUCUUAUGCAAAUUAAACCCACAAUCAAGAGAGAAGUAUGUAUACAUUGCUAAUGGUUCCCAACACCCAAAGCACUCACCCAGGUUUCCACCAUCGUUUUUAGAGGAAAACGAUGGAUCCUCAAGGGCAACAUGCUCAAGCUCUUUCAAAUUACUUUCAGCAAUGUUAAAUGUUAACAAAGCACAUUUAAUAUGAAAGUACAAGCCACAAGAGCAAUGGUAAAUGAAUUUCUCACAUGUUUCAUCACAUAAAUCACAAACGCACCUUGUGUAAGAAGAUGGUGGAUUCUGCAAAAGCACGAGAGGAUGGUGGCGAUGAAAAGGAUGAUUAAGCUCUAAAGGUGCCUCGGCACAUGUCUUGUGGAGGUAAAACCCACAGCAGUCCACACAGCUAAAACAUGGAGCUGACACCUUCUCCCCACACCUUGAGCAAUCAACAACUCCAUUGCCAUUGCCAAGCAACUGCUCUUCAUUUAACAUCAACAGUGGAUGUUGAUGCCCAUAGUUCUUUAGCUCUUCCAUUUCUCCUUUCUCUCUGUCUCUUUCGAUGUGGUAGAGAAAGAAAAAUUGAAAUUGAAUAACUCAAAGAAAGCAGAAAAUUAGAAGGGAGAGAUUCCAAAUGUUUAUUUGUAGGAGUCUGUUUGAACUUGCUAUGCUACUUUGCUUCAACAGUGGGUUGCCUAUACCUAUAUAUGUUUGAUCUUCUUUAUAAUUUCCAUGAAUGGGAUGCAAUGGGUUUGAGUGUACUCUAAGUAAAUUAUCAUUUUUUUUCCUUUAUUCUUUGCUUUGUGGAUUAGCUAAUUUUGUGGAUUAGAUAAUGAAUAUUCUGAUAUUGUUUGUGUGUAAAAAAAAAUAAGAUAACAUGAUGAAAGGUAUUUUUACAAGUUACGAAUUUUUCAAUUGAGAAUGAUAUCAAACAAUCAAAUUAUUCUAAAAAAAUUGAAUUAAAUCAUUUAUCUAAUCGAAAAUUAAAAACCUAUUUAAUUUAUUCUGGUGAGAAUAAAAAAAUUUGAACAAAGCUAGAUAGAUUAAUUAUACAAUUACCGAGCCACCAAUCGGCUCUCUUAGGAUAAUCUGUUACAGAAAUUACUCUAACUCCCUUGGUAUUUGCUCAACCACUUCAAUCCCAAUGGGGUCAUCGUUCAUUAAAGUAACCAUAUAAGUAGAUGUGAAUGAGACAUCUUUAUUGUAGGAAUGAUCCAUAUUCACUGUCCUGCAGUACAAACUGAAUCUACAAGCUAAUGAUAGAAACAUAAACCAAAAUAUAUAGUACAUUGUUUGAUUAAAAUUGAAAACAUGGUUCAUAUUUGUCCAUUGCAAUAUUCAGAUGUUCAAUGACAUGCAAAAGAUAUAUAUAUAUAUAUAUAGUCUAAUGACAGCUUGAAGUUUAUCUAAGCAAAUACACAUAUAUCACCCAAAACUUCCCACAGAAACUCAAAUUUAAGUACUAACAAGUUCAUAAAACAAGUUAAACGAAAGAUUACAUCAAGGGAAAAAGACAAUCAAGACAAGUAAAUAUACUGAUACUCCUAUUUAAUCGAACUCAAAGCGAUAACCGCGUGUCGUUUGUGCUUGAGGAAUGUCUGAAGCUCUUUAUAACCACUCCUGUAAUGGUCCAGACUGAAUGUAAGCUGUCUUAUUACCUCUCUUUUCUCUUCUGACACAUCUAAGAUCAUGUUCCUUUGCUUAUCCACUUCCUUCUCAAGGUCCUUUAUCUUCAAUUUCAACUCAUCUUCUAGAUUCUUUGUUAGCUGCAUAUGUUCCUUGCUUAAUUGUUGUAAAUGGUCCUCCAUUUGUCUGAUCUGUAAAUCACGAGAACGAACCUCGGCCACGAGAUUGUUUACUGUUGCAGUAACACAAUCUUUGUCUUUCAUAAGCAUAUCAUAUUUCAAUUUCAUUUUGUCAAGGUUCUUAUUCAAAGCUUCUAUCUGUAUACCUUUCUCAUUAAGUUCUGUCUUCAAUUGAUUGAUCUGACCUUGUAAGUUGGUUUCUUGUACAGCAAGCAAGCUUUCGAUAACUGGUAAUGGCGACAGACAAUCAAUGUGAAUAGCCAACUCACAAGGUGAACAACCAUACAAAUAUCCUCUUCCUUGAGUUACUUGGCAUAUUUUGCAAGCACGCCGUUCACUAUUAAAUUGCAAAACAAGAGGAUGUUUGCGAUGACACGAAUGAUCCAUUUUGAGAGGAAGCUCAGCACACCUCUUAUGCAAUUUAAACCCACAAUCAAGAAAGAAGUAUGUAUACAUUGCUAAUGGUUCCCAGCACACAAAGCACUUACCCAGGUUUCCACCAUCGUUUUUAGAGGAAAACGAUGGAUCCUCAGGGCCACAUGCUCAGCUCUUCAAAUUUCUUUCAGCAUAUGAUUGUAACAAGCACAUUAAUGAAAGUCAGCACAAGAGCAAUGGUAAAUGANNNNNNNNNNNNNNNNNNNNNNNNNNNNNNNNNNNNNNNNNNNNNNNNNNNNNNNNNNNNNNNNNNNNNNNNNNNNNNNNNNNNNNNNNNNNNNNNNNNNGCACCUUGUGUAAGGAGUGUAAGGUGGAUUCUGCAGAAGCAGGAGAGGAUGGUGGCGAUGAAAAGGAUGAUUAAGCUCCAAAGGUGCCUCGGCACAUUUCUUGUGGAGGUAAAACCCACAGCACUCCACACAGCCAAAACAUGGAGCUGACACCUUCUCCCCACACCUUGAGCAAUCAACAACUCCAUUGCCAUUGCCAAGCAACUGCUCUUCAUUUAACAUCAACAGUGGAUGUUGAUGCCCAUAGUUCUUUAGCUCUUCCAUUUCUCCUUCCUCUCUGUCUCUUUCGAUGUGGUAGAGAAAGAAAAAUUGAAAUUGAAUAACUCAAAGAAAGCAGAAAAUUAGAAGGGGGAGAUUCCAAAUGUUAAUUGGUAGGAGUCUCUUUGAACUUGCUAUGGUACUUUGCUUCAACGGUGGGUUGCCUUUACCUAUAUAUGUUUCUUCUUUAUAAUUACUGUGAAUGGGAUGCAAUGGGUUUGAGUGUAUGCUAAGUACAUUAUCAAUUUUUUUUCCUUUAUUCUUUGCUUUGUGGAUUAGAUAAUGAAUAUUGAUGGCGAAAGUGUUCUGAUAUUGUUUGUGUAAAAAAAUAAGAUAAUAUGAUGAAGGUAUUUUGACAGGUUACGAAUUUUUCAAUUGAGAAUGAUAUCAAACAAUCAAAUUAUUCUAAAAAAAUUGAAUUAAAUCAUUUAUCUAAUCGAAAAUUAAAAACCUAUUUAAUUUAUUCUGGUGAUUAGAAUAGAAAAAUUUGAACAAAGCUAGAUAGAUUAAUUAUACAAUUACCGACCCACCAAUCGGCUCUCUUAGGAAUGAGAAUGAGACAUCUUUAUUAUAGGAAUGAUCCACAUUCACUGUCCUGCAGUACAAACUGAAUCUACAAGCUAACGAUAGAAACAUAAACCAAAAUAUAUAGUACAUUGUUUGAUUAAAAUUGAAAACAUGGUUCAUAUUUGUCCAUUGCAAUGUUCAGAUGUUCAAUAACAUGAAAAAGAUAUAUAUAUAUAUAUAUAGUCUAAUGACAGCUUCAAGUUUAUCUAAGCAAAUACACAUAUAUCACCCAAAACUUCCCACAGAAACUCAAAUUUAAGUACUAAUAAGUUCAUAAAACAAGUUAAACGAAAGAUUACAUCAAGGGAAAAAGACAAUCCAGACAAGUAACUAUACCGAUACUCAUAUUUAAUCGAACUCAUAAAGCGAUAACCGCUUGUCGUUUGUGCUUGAGGAAUGUCUGAAGCUCUUUAUAACCACUCCUGUAAUGGUCCAGACUGAAUGUAAGCUGUCUUAUUACCUCUCUUUUCUCUUCUGACACAUCUAAGAUCAUGUUCCUUUGCUUAUCCACUUCCUUCUCAAGGUCCUUUAUCUUCAAUUUCAACUCAUCUUCUAGAUUCUUUGUUAGCUGCAUAUGUUCCUUGCUUAAUUGUUGUAAAUGGUCCUCCAUUUGUCUGAUCUGUAAAUCACGAGAACGAACCUCGGCCACGAGAUUGUUUACUGUUGCAGUAACACAAUCUUUGUCUGUCAUAAGCAUAUCAUAUUUCAAUUUCAUUUUGUCAAGGUUCUUAUUCAAAGCUUCUAUGUGUAUACCUUUCUCAUUAAGUUCUGUCUUCAAUUGAUUGAUCUGACCUUGUAAGUUGGUUUCUUGUACAACAAGCAAGCUUUCGAUUUCCGAAUUUUUGGUCUCACGCUGCC